rnacentral:rRNA from 1 species
AUUGAACGCUGGCGGCAGGCCUAACACAUGCAAGUCGAGCGGAUGAAGGUAGCUUGCUACCUGAUUCAGCGGCGGACGGGUGAGUAAUGCCUAGGAAUCUGCCUGGUAGUGGGGGACAACGUUUCGAAAGGAACGCUAAUACCGCAUACGUCCUACGGGAGAAAGUGGGGGAUCUUCGGACCUCACGCUAUCAGAUGAGCCUAGGUACGAUUAGCUAGUUGGUGAGGUAAAGGCUCACCAAGGCGACGAUCGUUAACUGGUCUGAGAGGAUGAUCAGUCACACUGGAACUGAGACACGGUCCAGACUCCUACGGGAGGCAGCAGUGGGGAAUAUUGGACAAUGGGCGAAAGCCUGAUCCAGCCAUGCCGCGUGUGUGAAGAAGGUCUUCGGAUUGUAAAGCACUUUAAGUUGGGAGGAAGGGCAGUAAGUUAAUACCUUGCUGUUUUGACGUUACCGACAGAAUAAGCACCGGCUAACUUCGUGCCAGCCGCCGCCGUAAGAC